rnacentral:lncRNA from 1 species
ACUCUGCCAUACAACUCAGACCAAGAAGGUGCAAAGCUUAUCUAAACGCUCUGCCCAGAGUGCUUUACUGGAAGAAGAUAUGGCUGCCAACCAGAAGCCUGGAUUCUAGAACAUUCUGUACUCCAGUCUCAUCUAGGGGAUCAUUCAAGUCUCUGAAGGCCUGCUCCCUCCUCCAGCCCAGAGGGAGUAGAAGUAGGCAGAAGUGAUCCUGGAGCUUCAGUCCCUGCCAAGACAAGAAUCGGCCAGGUAUUCUGUGGAUGGUGUUUGAAUGCCUGGUGGCUAUGUGAAGCAAGGAGUAAAGAUAAGCUGGUUCCUGACCUUUAACCAAUACCAUCAGUCAGAGCGCCUCAAGCACCGCAGGGAGUCAAGGCAGCAGGAGCUCCACAUAGCUGGUCCCAGAGCAUCCUCAACCAGGAAGCAGAGAGCCAGGAACUUGUUUCUGUUCGGCUUGCCUGCUUCCUCCAGGAUCCCAGCCAAGCAACGGUACUACCCUAUGGUGGUUUGAGUGAGACUGGUUCCCACACGGACUUGGAGAACGAAGAACUGCUGGCCCUGCUAAGCUGCUGAAGAGCCUACUUUGCAACUCAAUCCAGCUGAAACAAGCCACAGAACCCAGUGGAAACAAAGGGAUGGGUCCUUGGGUUUUCCCAUAUACAUUCAGUGCCGUACAUUAAAAUUUGAGCCUCCAUCAGAGAA